UACGGGGGGGGCAAGCGUUGUUCGGAAUUACUGGGCGUAAAGGGCUCGUAGGCGGCCAACUAAGUCGGAUGUGAAAUCCCCAGGCUCAACCUGGGAACUGCAUCCGAUACUGGAUGGCUUGAAUCCGGGAGAGGGAUGCAGAAUUCCAGGUGUAGCGGUGAAAUGCGUAGAUAUCUGGAGGAAUACCGGUGGCGAAGGCGGGAUCCUGGACCGGCAUUGACGCUGAGGCGCGAAAGCCAGGGGAGCAAACGGG
rnacentral:rRNA from 1 species